GACAGAGGGGGCAAGCGUUGCUCGGAAUUACUGGGCGUAAAGGGCGCGUAGGCGGGAUGGCAAGUCGGUCGUGAAAUCCCUCGGCUCAACCGAGGAACGUCGAUCGAUACUGCUGUUCUUGAGGAUUGCAGAGGAGACUGGAAUUCCCGGUGUAGCGGUGAAAUGUGUAGAGAUCGGGAGGAACACCGGUGGCGAAGGCGGCUAUCUGGACCGUAACUGACGCUGAGGCGCGAAAGCGUGGGGAGCAAACAGG
rnacentral:rRNA from 1 species